CUUCUCGUCUGUCGCCAUGUGAGAUGUACCUUUCACUUUCCUCCAUGAUUGUGAGGCCUCCUUAGCCACAUGGAACUUAUUUAAGUCAACAGAUGGAAGAGUGUCAUGGAAGGAAAUGCUGGAGUCCUUCAUCCGAAUGGUAAAUGGCACUUGUGACAAAAAUCAAAGUAACUAAAAAAGAAUCUGGUUGAAACCUCAGUAACAGUUGGCCUGUCUACUGCCUCACACUAACAAGUGACCCCCACCUUUACAAGUGUCUGUAAUUCUCACUAGCAGUAUAUUAGAGGGCAAAAGAUUUGAACAGACACAUCAGAAAAGAAGACAUACAAAUGGCCGCUAAGCACUUGAAAGGAUUCUGAACACCAUUAGUCAUCAGUGAAAUGCAAAUUAAAGCCAUAAUGAAUGGCGCUAUACAUUUUCAGAAUGGCAAGGAUUGAAGACCGAAAAAAAUCAAGCGUUGAGGAGAGUGACAAAUGGGGAGACAGCCGUGGUGCAUGAUCGCCGAAUAAAUACCAUGUGAGGAUACAGCAAGAAGGUGGCCAUCUACAAGCCAAGGAGACAGGCCUCAGAAGAAACCAACCCUUCUUACACCCUGGACUCAGACUUCUAAUCUCCAGAACUUGUUAAUGCACAAGGUCUUGUGUUGAAAAUGUAGAGCCACGAGAUAAAAGCAGCUUGGAUGGCUGACUCAUAUACAAGGACAACUGCCUGAGAGUCACCAGGGCUAUCAAGAAGUUUGCAGAAACAAGAAAUAAACUUUUACUGUU
rnacentral:lncRNA from 1 species